CCCAGGGAGCUGGGAGACAGGGAUUUGUAACCAGAGCCUGGGGCCGAGGGCAGAGCAAGAAGGUGCUGACAGAAGCUCGCUGGGAUAUUGAUGACCCCCUAUCUCCACGGAUCACCUUUUCCUGGCACCGCUUUUGCAGUGCGUUCUCAUCCCUCAGCACAAUUUACACAGAUUGUCGUGUUGCCUUCUCCAUGCCUGGAAGACCCAGCUGCUAAUUCAGCUCACUCCAUCUUCAAAAGAUGAGGUUUGGUCCAUCUCACAGUCACCAGGGUUUGGCCUGAGUUCCCAGUGAACUCAGGAAAAAGAUUGACUCAGCUUCAAAGGAACAUGACCUUAGUCUGUACUCUGAACAACAGUUCAAAAAUGCCUGCAUGGCCGCAGGCUGUACUGACCUGCUGUUGCCUGUAAUAGUUGCGUUGUGAGUUCGUUGGAGCAUGGGCCAUCGUUAAAUCCUGUGUUUGUACAGUGCCUCGUGCAAUGCAAUAUUAAUUUGUGACUGGUGCUCCUACAUGUUACCACAUCACAUACCCCCCUUCUGUGAGGGUAUGUGUGGGGAUGGCACUGCUUUUAUUUUUUGUGCUGUGUAAUUUCAGUGAGCUGCCAUUUUGUUCACAGAAGGGUCACUGGUUGGUGUGGGAAGAAAGACACACUGUGAUUCCUGGUGGAAACAUCUGCUCCAGCCUUGUAGUUGCUCCCUCUCAACUGGCAGAAAAAAUAAUUCAAUUUCAGAUAAUACUGUGCUGUUCUUUCCAUGUGGAAAGGCAUGCAAAACUAUUCCUCUUUUGCCUGCUAAUUGCCUUGAUUUCUGCUUCUACACUCCCAGCUGCCUUUCCUCCUCAGGUUGCCCUUUCUGACUCCUCGAUUAACGUCUUUGUCCACCCAUUUAGCACUCAGGACGUGGUGACCUUUGGAUGCAAAUCUGGGCCAACAUCCCUCCCGCUCACACACUUUCUGGGGGGGCUGCCACCUGCAAUGCUCCUUGCAGCAGAGGCAGGAGGCAGCUGGGCAGAAGCGGGUGCCAGGCAGUGCCCUCCUCCGCCAAGGCUGCGGGCCCCCUCCACCUUCGGCAUUGCCUGCUCAAAGCUCAGCGGCUCGCUCUGCCACGAAAGCCCAACAGCAGGUAGCCCAGGCAGCCAGAGGUGACCGUCUUCGGCUACUAGGUGACAUGUCAGUGUAGAUGUACCUAUGCCCUCUGGUUUAUGCUGGCUCGCUAGCUGCCUUUGGACUGCCUGUUGUCACCACCUCAAGCUUUGGACAGUGUUUCUUCAUUAGAUUAACUUGGACAGGUGUUAACAGGCUGUGCUGGCCUCUCUUGGUGACACUUUGGAUAAUUAGGGGCCAAACUUUCACAAAUUAACUUUGGAGCUAAACUGUACUUUUGAGACAGCACCUGGGGAGUCACUUCUAGGGUGGAAACAAGCGAUCCUGACAGGGCAUGGGACUUGUUUGGAACUGUCAUGUUAUACUGGUGUUGGCUCUCAGGGGGAGCAGAAGCUUCCACAUGUGCCAGCCCACAUCAGGAUGCUUCAAUGGAUGCCGGAGCCACUGCUGCAUGAAAUCGGAGGCACGUUCAUCUUAGCAGGCAGGUAGAGGGGUCUGAUGAACCCCUCUAGAGCCAGCACAAUGCAUCUGCUCCUAAUGUCACCUCAAGGUGAAACAGGUUCUGUCUGCGCAGGAAAUGUUUGACAAGACUCACAACUGAGAAGGGGACUAGAGGCUAUCACAGAGCCUGAUUUUGCAUCUCAGACCAGAUCUAAUAGGUGAGGUGGCCACAGGUCUAUAGUACCAUCUUCCAAGAGCAGGGCCUCUAAACUUCUGAAGGUGAUAUGCAGCUCUUUCCCAAGCGAGGUCCCAGGCUAAAACAGAAAAUCAUUAUUUGCCCAGAGAUGGGCUUUAUUCUGCAUAGAGUCCGACUCUUGUAAUGUGGAGCUCUGCCUUCCCAGUCACAAGGAUUUUCGAAGUAUUUCUCAAAUUCUUUUCUGCAGGCCUCAGCAUACACCCAGCCUCCACCAGGGAUCUGAGCCACCUGUUCACUUCUUGCUUCCUAACACCCACGUAAGACCUUUGGCUUUAAUUACACACACAGAGUCCCCCUGCCCCAGCCUUCCUUUGUCCCCAACACAAUGGGUUUAGACACCUGGAAAACUAAGGUUUAGCUGAGGACAAAGGCUGAGGUGGGGAGAACAUGGCUGGAAGGCAAGUGGCUGCUGAAGGGGAGGCCCAGCCGGGUCCCUGCCCAGGGCUAUCUCUGUGGCUAUCCCUGCCCCUUGCGCCUCUCUUCCAUUUAAUGCCCCGUUCACAGGCAUCAGGGCAGCAAGACUUUGACUAAAGCCAUUCCUUGUGGUCCUCGUAAGGCCUAUUGGCAGCAAGCAAAGUAGUUUCCCCUUGAACCCUGUGGCUAGUGCCACUUCUGCCAGGCGAAUGUCCCUGCAUGUGCUCCUUGCUGAAAGCCUCUGUAAACAGUUGAGGAAAGUGGCCUCAUUUGAUGUUUAUUCAUUGAGCUCUGUUCCUCUGCUCAGCAUUGUCCAAACUGAGCAAAAGAAAUUUACGGAGGUUGAAAUAAAUGAGGUCUCCUCAUUGGACCCAUAGACACUAAUGAUGGGCAACUAAAAAUCCCAGCUUUGAUUCACUUGGAUCAUGGCCUUUCUUGUUGCAUUAGAGGGGCACUCAGAUGACGUUGCCAUUCUGUAUCUGGCUGCUCAAAACAUUUGUUUUGAUUAUUUUCCUGUACCUUAGUUUCCCUUAACACAAAAGGAACCCUUAACACUGCAACUACAUAAAGUGAGUGAUAUGAUGUUGGAGCUACAUGCUCAAGGGCUCCCUGAGCUUUAUGGAGCACUGUAGGCAAAUGGUUUUUAAUGAAAUCAUACAUGAUUUGAGUUUAAUCAUGGUUUUUAUUUGCUUCUUUCCACUGAAGUGAAAACAAAAUGAAAGGAUGUAUUUUUUCUUUUUUAAAUGAUUUUGAAGUAUUUAGAAAGAGGCAGAGAGAAAAGAGAGCAAGACUAGUAAUCAGGUGAGCUACGUUCUGCCUGCAGUUCAGCUGUGGAUUAGUUGUAUGGUUUUGGUCUGUUCCCACCACUGCUCUGCUCCUCUGUGUUCCCACAUGCAGAAUGGGAAGAAAUAUGGUAAGUAGAUAAGAAAGUUAGGAUAACAGAUAGGGAUGAGUAGGUGGAUGAUGAGGGGAAAAAAAUUAAAAGGGUCAUCAAUUCUUAUGCAUCAGGGUUCAGCUCAAUAUUUAAAUAUUAAGUUUCAGGAGGAAAUCUGGGAAGCUGUAUCAUAUAAGUGCUUCCAGCAAGAUUUCUUGUGCUUACUUUUGACAUUGGGCAAGUGAAUCUCGGGUCUGAUCUAAUCAAGCUUUCCUUGUAUUCCUAACAAUACCCACUAGCACAAAGCACUUCUCUGGGGAUAGGUAAAAAGCACUGUGUGAGUGUUAUUCUUAUUAGAGAUGAUGGGAUGGAAGGGCAAAGCGAAGUCUCCACCCUGUAAUGGUCUGCAAUGGGGCAAUUGCAAGGCACAAAGUUAAGCAUAAGCUUCUGUCACUUUGGGUUGAGGACUUACAGUUUAGGCUCUCCUUUAAGAGGGGUCUAUUCUACCCUGGGAAUAAGAGUGUCAAGUUUGAGAUCUUCUUGCUCGCCCUCGUGUUGUGGGAAUGCUGUUGGUAUGCUGCGGGGGUAUCGUACCUCCCAUCAUCUCUCCCUAGGUACAACCCACUCUGCUGCCUCUUGGGCUGAGAGGUGGUGGUUAGGGGCAGGGAUAAAGGUGGGGGGAAAGCUGAUGAAGAGGGGAAAGGAAGCAACUUUUUAAAUAAAAAAAUAAGUGAUGAAUAGAUCGGCUAAUCCCGGGAAACCUUGAGAAUAUAGAGCAGUGUCUGUGGGGCCUCCCUUUUUUCUUUUCUUUUUUUAAUUUUCUUUUCUUUAAUUUCGCUGCAGCACGUAUAAUCAAUUAUGGCUUGAAUCGGGGAUAAGGGGAGGGAAAGUACUUCAAUUCAUAAAUCAAUUUUAUACGGUCAUCAGUCAGGUUGUGAAUGCAAAUACCUCUGUCGGUUUAGGUUAUUCAGAAUUAAUUGACUCCCACCGGGCUGGGCUGCAGAUGGAGAGAAGCUUUCUCACAAAGUCUACUCGGGCUCAGCAUGGGGGCAGGCAGGCGGGCCAGCUUCCUCCUCCUCCUCUUCCUCUGCUUUGCUCUCCUGGAGGAUUAUACUAUUGGUGUUGGGGAGAGUUUUGUGUGCAUGUGCGUGUGUGUCUGUGUGUCUGUCUGUGAGAGGGAGAGAUGCUUGAAGAAAGAAAGGGAUAUGCAAAGAUUAAAGUCACAAGCCCCCUCUUCAGCCCCGGCCUGCGCAGACACUUUUAUGUGAUUAGGAAUGCUUUGCUUUCAAGGGUUUGCUUUUAAGCCUUGAGCUUCUCUUGAACUUCUCCAAUAAGAAAACAAACAGCAGUGUCAAAGCCUCCCCCUGUGCCUGGAAUUUGAGCUAGAAUCAUGUCAUUAAAAAGCCACUUUGCUACUGGGA